UACGGGGGGGGCAAGCGUUGUUCGGAAUUACUGGGCGUAAAGGGCUCGUAGGCGGCCAACUAAGUCAGACGUGAAAUCCCUCGGCUUAACCGGGGAACUGCGUCUGAUACUGGUUGGCUUGAAUCCGGGAGAGGGAUGUGGAAUUCCAGGUGUAGCGGUGAAAUGCGUAGAUAUCUGGAGGAACACCGGUGGCGAAGGCGGCAUCCUGGACCAUUACUGACACUGAAAAGCGAAAGCCAGGGGAGCAAACGGG
rnacentral:rRNA from 1 species